AGGUAUGAAAGGGGAGCAGGACAACUAUGAGGAAAGCUGUCCAGAAAGUCCUUGAUAAACAGAAGAGUUGGAGACAACACCUAUGCUGUGUACCUUGGCUGAGAUAUUUUGUCAAUGAUUGUGUUUGAGAGCCCCUACCGUCAGGCAACAGAAGCGAACACAGGAGACCUCAGUGACUCAGGAGGCGCUCAGCCUGCAGCUGGCAGCGGUCGUGGAUGUAUUCAAACAUCCAGCACAGUGUCAGCACUGAUCCUGGGAAACGUAUGAAGACAAUAACUAUGUUUUCUGCACUGAUAUUUUGUUGCUACAACUAUCAUUUCUCCUACACUAUGACAAUCCUCAGCUAUGAAGUGCUGGCUAACCUUCUGAAUGAAGUCCUGCAGCAAGAACGCUACGCGUCCUUGGCUUCAGGAUUUCCAGUUCCGCUUUCAUGGAGGUUGUCAGAGGGUCCCCAUCUCCAGGGAACAACAAUGAAAUAGAGUAAUUGAAUGUGGCACUGCGGCUCUCUGAGCUUCUCCUCACUUAUCAAGUGCUCGUUACUGCUUCCCCUCAUUAAUUCCAUUACAGGGGCUGGCAGCCACUGACUUGACAUGCCCCUAUCUGAGCUGAAAUCACUUUUUCAGCAGGUGCCAGCCCCGCAUUCCUUGCUCACAGGCCCGUUCUGAUGCAGUCAGUGCAACUUCUCACAUGUUGGAGCUGGAAGGAGAAACCUGAGGCUCCUUCACUAACCCAACAUGAGAAAAGGGAAUAUGUGGUAACUUAGCUCAUGUCAUUAUUUUGCAUCAUCAGCUUUGUACAGGAUAGCAGUAGGUGUGGAACUCCAUGUAGCCAGUAAAUAACAUACAACAAAAGUGAUCAUAAAAAGAAGAGCUAUUAUGGAAAGGUGACAAGGUGACAAGCACACAGAGAAGGAAGAGAAAAGCACAACCCACAUUAAUUCCUGCUGCUCUCUUGAUUACUGUGUAGCAGAUUACUUUGGAAUUUGCUAUUGGAAGUUUUAGUGGAAGAGAUGAAAUUAAAUGGUACAUCUGAAGAAACGCAGAUCAGCAGAGAACACCUGACCAGACUUAAUAACACAGGACUAUGAGAUUGGAAAGACCGUUAACAUCCACUUGCCCAAGUACUAAAUAACAGUCCCAGUUUGCAGUCUUAUACAAAGAUAGAUAGACAGAUAGUUAGACAGAUAAUCAAACAAAACAGAAGGAGGGUUGCCUUAAAGAUCACCUUACAUAGCAACCAUACAGAAAAAUACCUGCUUGGGGCAGCAUAAUUUAGACAUUCUUGAAGAGCAAUUGGCUACUGGGUGCAGUGUAUCUGAAUUAAAGCUUCACCUUCAG
ensembl:lncRNA